CGCCCCACAUUUAGAUCUUUAAUCCAUCGAGUUUAUUUCUGUGUAUGGUGUCAAAAGGCAGUUCGGUUUCGUUCUUGUGCACGUAGCUGUCCAGUUUUCCCAGCACCAUUUAUUAAAGACACUGUCCUUUUCCCAUCGGAUAUUCUUGCCUCCUUUGUCGUAGAUUAAGUGACUCUGGAAGUAUGGCUAUAUUUCUGGGCUCUCCAUUUUGUUGCAUCGAUCUAUUUGUCUAUAUUUUGUGCAAGUACCAUACUGUUAUGAUUACUGUAGCUUUGUAGUGUAUCUUGAAACCUAGGAUUGUGGUACCUCCAGCUUUGUUCUUCUUUCUCAAGAUUGCUUUGGUUAUUUGGAGUCUUCUGUGAUUCCAUACCAAUUUUAUUAUUAUUGGUUCUGGUUCUGUGGAAAGUGCCAUUGGUAUUUUGAUAAGGAUUGCAUUGAAUCUGUAGAUUGCUUUGGGUAGGAUGGACAUCUUAAGAUUUUAUUUAUUUAUUUUAUUAAUUUUUAAAUGAUUAUUUAUUUUUGAGGGGAGGGGCAGGGAGAGAGGGAGACAGAGGAUCUGAAGUGGGUUCUGUGCUGACAGUAGAGAGCCGGAUGCAGGCCUUGAACUCACAAACCAUGAGAUCAAGCCCUGAGCCGAAGUUGGACACUUAACCGACUGCGCCACCUAGGUUGCCCCUAUAUAUUAAAUUUUUUUUAAACGUUUAUUUAUUUUUGAGACAGAGAGAGACAGAGCAUGAAUGGGGGAGGGUCAGAGAGAGAGAGAGGGAGACACAGAAUCGGAAACGGGCUCCAGGCUCUGAGCUGUCAGCACAGAGCCUGACGCGGGGCUUGAACUCACAAACCACGAAAUCAUGACCUGAGCCGAAGUCGGAUGCUUAACCGACUGAGCCACCCAGGUGCCCCCCCUAUAUAUUAAUUUUUUAGUAUGCUCUAGGCCCAAGAACUCACGGGGCUUGAACUCACGACCCUGAGAUCGAGUCGCAUGUUCUACCGACUGAGCCAGCCGGGUGCCCCCAUCUUAGCAGUAUUCUCCCAAUCCACAGGAGGCAGUUGGAGUGGAAGCUUCCAGUCUCUUUUAUCUGUGCUUCCCCUGGGGUUGCCAGCUCACAGCGACUACUAACAGGCAGGAGAAGGAGCCAAGCAUCCAACCCUUCCAACUACCCCAUCGUCUCUACGUAGUAUCAGAACCUCCAUUUUAUUCAGCGUGGCUGUGUGCUCAGCCAAAAGAAUAUGUACCCCAGCCUUCCCUGCAGCAAGGUAAGAGCUUCUGGCCAAUGAGAUGUAACAGAAAGUCCUGAGUGGAAUUUAGAAGGGAUCCUUUGAAAAGCAGAACAUCUUUUUUGCUCUUUCCCCAUUAUGCCAUCCUGCUAUCAGGUGUGUGAAGGCCGGAGCCCCGGCAGCUGUGUUGGUUCAUGAGGUGACCUUGAGAUUGGAAGGCACACACUAAGAUGGUGGACCACAAAAAUAGAGGGAAUCUGGGAGCCAUGGUUGGAGCCACCAUACCAGUCACCAGGAGACCUUUGCUAUCCUCCUGAGCUCUUUUAUGUGAAGGAAAAGAGUCAUAUAUAUAUGCUCAGACUACUGUUAUUUGGUUUUCCUUUUACAUGCAGCUAAAUUUAAUCUCCUCCAGUCUUGAAGGUUAUGAGAUCCCUGUGGGGCAGUUGUUCAGUGUUUGCCUGAAUAUCUUCCUGUCCUAAACAGUGAAGACCAGCGUACUGCACUGAUUGCAUUGAGUGCCUGCACUGUGCAGGUGUUAUUUCCCCAAUUUACAGGUGAGGAGACUGAGACUUAGAGAAACUAAGUGCACAGCACGUUCAAUGGCAUCUGCCUGACCCUAGAGGCUCCCACCCCCUACUCCUCCCUGUGCCCUGCUUCUAGUUAGUACGUUCUUGGUUCUUGAUGUCACCUUGUGCACAGCCUGUGGACCACUGAAGC